rnacentral:rRNA from 1 species
CCUACGGGAGGCUGCAGUGGGGAAUAUUGCACAAUGGGCGCAAGCCUGAUGCAGCCAUGCCGCGUGUGUGAAGAAGGCCUUCGGGUUGUAAAGCACUUUCAGCGGGGAGGAAGGCGUUAAGGUUAAUAACCUUGUCGAUUGACGUUACCCGCAGAAGAAGCACCGGCUAACUCCGUGCCAGCAGCCGCGGUAAUACGGAGGGUGCAAGCGUUAAUCGGAAUUACUGGGCGUAAAGCGCACGCAGGCGGUCUGUCAAGUCGGAUGUGAAAUCCCCGGGCUCAACCUGGGAACUGCAUUCGAAACUGGCAGGCUAGAGUCUUGUAGAGGGGGGUAGAAUUCCAGGUGUAGCGGUGAAAUGCGUAGAGAUCUGGAGGAGUACCGGUGGCGAAGGCGGCCCCCUGGACAAAGACUGACGCUCAGGUGCGAAAGCGUGGGGAGCAAACAGGAUUAGAUACCCCGGUAGUC